AACACUAGGCUGAAGGGGCGAUAGGCAGCCCCCAGCCCAGCCCCCGAAGCGGCACGGAUCCCUGCCGCCGCCCCGCACCCUGCUCAGCGCCAGGCGCCCCUCGCAGGAGGAGGAGGAGGAGGAGCGGGGUUCCAGCUCGGCCGGGGAGGCUCGGAAAGCCGCCCAAAACGGGAAUUUCGCCACAAAACGCCGGUGGGUGGUCCCGGGCCCGGCACACCGCCACGGCGGCAGCAAGGGCCGGAGCUUGGCAGCCUGCGGGGGUAGCGUCCAGAUGUCUGCUUCUGAAAAGAGCAAGAAGUGCGCGUCGUCAACCACAGCAAACGUUUGGGCCGGUUGGGAGAGAAAGGAAGGAGGCGGAUUUGAGGGGAAGCAUUGUUAAGAUGUGUGCAGUGCUAGGAUCUGAGCAGAGGAGCAUCUCCAGGAUGGGAACAAAGAGCUUUAUAAAGGCCCAUAGGCACACAGAAAUCUGCCUGAUGUGCUUGAGUAAAACAUACUUUGAAGCAUCUGGUGCUUUGACAUCUGUGAAACAAAAUAAUCAAGCUGUGAGAGAAAUCCCCGUGCCUAUAACAGCUAGGAAGAACUAGCCACAGGGAGUACUGCUCGGCUGGGAUGAGAGAUCCACCAAGCCAAGCUGGGAAAGCACUGAACAGAACAGCUGCAGUGCAAUCUUCAGGUUUGGUGAGUUAACAAUUGGAUGCCUUCGUGGUGGUCAGUUGGAACUUGUCAUUCUGUGUCUG